UUGUCUCUUAUUAUUAUUUGUUUAUAAGAAUGGAAAGAAUAAUUUUUUCUAAAAUGUUUGAAAUUUGUGAAAAGUGAAGGAGAGGGAUAUUGUUCGUUCUUAUGCAGAAAGGGGAGAUACUGUAUUUUUUUAUUAUUACUUUCAUUUUGUUUUAAUGAUAUUAAACAGCAUUUAAUUUGUUUUUUAAUAAAAAAAAAGGUCCAUUUAGUGACUCACUAGCAGUCAAAUAUGUUUCUAAAUAAUUUGAAAAAAACAAAUCAACCCAAGUUGAUGAAAGAGGCCGAC
rnacentral:lncRNA from 1 species